rnacentral:rRNA from 1 species
CCGGAGAAUGUUAUCACGGGAGACACACGGCGGGUGCUAACGUCCGUCGUGAAGAGGGAAACAACCCAGACCGCCAGCUAAGGUCCCAAAGUCAUGGUUAAGUGGGAAACGAUGUGGGAAGGCCCAGACAGCCAGGAUGUUGGCUUAGAAGCAGCCAUCAUUUAAAGAAAGCGUAAUAGCUCACUGGUCGAGUCGGCCUGCGCGGAAGAUGUAACGGGGCUAAACCAUGCACCGAAGCUGCGGCAGCGAACGUAUCACCCAAGACAACUUUACGGAGUUGACGAUUGACGGAGCGAAGCGACGUCAAAGCGUUCAUUAAAGUCGAGUUGGCUUAGGGAUACGUUCGUUGGGUAGGGGAGCGUUCUGUAAGCCUGUGAAGGUGUGUCGUGAGGCAUGCUGGAGGUAUCAGAAGUGCGAAUGCUGACAUAAGUAACGAUAAAGCGGGUGAAAAGCCCGCUCGCCGGAAGACCAAGGGUUCCUGUCCAACGUUAAUCGGGGCAGGGUGAGUCGACCCCUAAGGCGAGGCCGAAAGGCGUAGUCGAUGGGAAACGGGUUAAUAUUCCCGUACUUGGUGUUACUGCGAAGGGGGGACGGAGAAGGCUAUGUUGGCCGGGCGACGGUUGUCCCGGUUUAAGCGUGUAGGUGUGUGUUCCAGGUAAAUCCGGUUCACUUUAACACUGAGGCGUGACGACGAGGCACUACGGUGCUGAAGCAACAAAUGCCCUGCUUCCAGGAAAAGGUGCCGGAAGGUUAAUUGAUGGGGUCAGCGCAAGCGAAGCUCCUGAUCGAAGCCCCGGUAAACGGCGGCCGUAACUAUAACGGUCCUAAGGUAGCGAAAUUCCUUGUCGGGUAAGUUCCGACCUGCACGAAUGGCGUAAUGAUGGCCAGGCUGUCUCCACCCGAGACUCAGUGAAAUUGAACUCGCUGUGAAGAUGCAGUGUACCCGCGGCAAGACGGAAAGACCCCGUGAACCUUUACUAUAGCUUGACACUGAACAUUGAGCCUUGAUGUGUAGGAUAGGUGGGAGGCUUUGAAGUGUGGACGCCAGUCUGCAUGGAGCCGACCUUGAAAUACCACCCUUUAAUGUUUGAUGUUCUAACGUGGACCCGUWAYCCGGGUUGCGGACAGUGUCUGGUGGGUAGUUUGACUGGGGCGGUCUCCUCCUAAAGAGUAACGGAGGAGCACGAAGGUUGGCUAAUCCUGGUCGGACAUCAGGAGGUUAGUGCAAUGGCAUAAGCCAGCUUGACUGCGAGCGUGACGGCGCGAGCAGGUGCGAAAGCAGGUCAUAGUGAUCCGGUGGUUCUGAAUGGAAGGGCCAUCGCUCAACGGAUAAAAGGUACUCCGGGGAUAACAGGCUGAUACCGCCCAAGAGUUCAUAUCGACGGCGGUGUUUGGCACCUCGAUGUCGGCUCAUCACAUCCUGGGGCUGAAGUAGGUCCCAAGGGUAUGGCUGUUCGCCAUUUAAAGUGGUACGCGAGCUGGGUUUAGAACGUCGUGAGACAGUUCGGUCCCUAUCUGCCGUGGGCGCUGGAGAACUGAGGGGGGCUGCUCCUAGUACGAGAGGACCGGAGUGGACGCAUCACUGGUGUUCGGGUUGUCAUGCCAAUGGCACUGCCCGGUAGCUAAAUGCGGAAGAGAUAAGUGCUGAAAGCAUCUAAGCACGAAACUUGCCCCGAGAUGAGUUCUCCCUGAGACUUAGAGUCUCCUGAAGGAACGUUGAAGACGACGACGUUGAUAGGCCGGGUGUGUAAGCGCAGCGAUGCGUUGAGCUAACCGGUACUAAUGAACCGUGAGGCUUAACCUU